UUUCCUCUAAAUUGGUUACUGAGCGGUCAGUGAAAACUGAUAAGGCAGAUCAGACCCACAAGCAACAGGGCUGGGGAGGGGAAGAAGAGCCAAGAAUCACCAGCUUCGUCCAGCGAAGUGGAGCACCUUAAGAUAGUUUCGAAAUAGCGGGGGCGGGGGCGUCCUGCGCCUUUGAAGCGAAUAGAAUACAAAUUGUUCGCGGCGCGGUUCCAAGUCGAUUCCAAAGGGAGUCUGAUUCCAUUCGAGGUCUGCUUGGGCGCCGCGCAAUUCUGCGCACGGUUCCUGCACUAAAAAGUCUCCGGGAGUUACGUAGAUUGUCGACCGGCACGCAGGGCGGGUGGCUCCCAACCAUCAGGCUAGAAUCGGGUUAUGGGACGAAGACGGCUUCAUUUUGUCGGUGAAAGAAAGCCGCCGCUCGCUAGGCCUUAGCCGGGCGCCAGGGUUUCUUUUGGCCCGAAAGCUUUCCCCAAGGAUGGCAGAGCGCUUUGGCCACAGCCCAGAAAAACCACCCAGCCACACCACAAAGUUCCCGCGUCAAAGCCCGGCACCUCUAAGGGGGGUUGGAAAGCCGGCAACGAGACGGGUGGGCGAGGACCAACUUCGGGCGGGCUGCAAGGCAAGGUGGCAGGCGAGACCUCCAAAGGGCUGAUCCAAACGAAGCCGCCGGAGAAAGGCUGGCUAACGUGUCAGUGAGGCGGCGAAGUGUGAAAACAUCAGUCUCUAUCUUGAACUUCAAAGACAGGAUGCUAGUUAAAGACAAAUCCAGAUGUUCUUCCAUGAUGUCCUUGAAUAGAUGCGAAAAGAAAAAUCCCUCUGUUGCCUAAGGUGGAAGUUCGCCUUAAUAAAGCCUUCAGGAAUUUGC